UUCAAUCCCCCCCUUUUAUCCCAUUUUAUCUCACUUUUUCUCCAUUCCACCCCAGGUUCCCCUCCCCAAAAUGGCUCCUCUCAGACACCUGUGCGACGCCUGCGCUCCCCCAGCAGGUCGCUCCUGCAGCCCCAAAUGGCCGCCCUGUGCUGGAGGUGCGUCCG